rnacentral:rRNA from 1 species
CCUAAACUUGCCAUUGUUUUUUAUCAAAUUUACACAUGCAAGCUUCAACAACCCAGUGAGAAUGCCCAAAACCCCUAGACAGCCAUAAGGAGCAGGCAUCAGGAUCCAGAAGAAUCUAGCCCAAGACGCCUUGCUACGCCACACCCACACGGGUACUCAGCAGUGAAUAACAUUAAGAAAUGAGCGAAAGCUCGACUUAGUUAUGAUAAACAUGACCGGUAAAUUUCGUGCCAGCCACCGCGGUUAUACGAAAGGCCAAAAACAAUGACCUACGGCGUAAAGCGUGACCAGAGUUCAUCAAAAAUUUUAAAGCGGAACAAUAUUAAAGUUGUAAAACACCUUAAUAAUUAGA